rnacentral:rRNA from 1 species
CCUACGGGAGGCAGCAGUAGGGAAUAUUGCUCAAUGGGGGAAACUCUGAAGCAACAACGCCGCGUGGAGGAUGAAGGUUUUAGGAGUGUAAACUCCUUUUGUGACAGAAGAUAAUGACGGUAUCCCACGAAUAAGCACCGGCUAACUCCGUGCCAGCAGCCGCGGUAAUACGGAGGGUGCAAGCGUUACUCGGAUUCACUGGGCGUAAAGCGUGCGCAGGCGGGCUUGUAAGUCAGAUGUGAAAUCCUGUGGCUUAACUACAGAACUGCAUUUGAAACUAUGAGUCUAGAGAGUGGGCGAGGUAGGUGGAAUUCUUGGUGUAGGGGUAAAAUCCGUAGAGAUCA